rnacentral:rRNA from 1 species
UACGAAGGGGGCUAGCGUUGUUCGGAAUUACUGGGCGUAAAGCGCACGUAGGCGGAUACUUAAGUUAGGGAUGAAAUCCCAGAGCUCAACUCUGGAACUGCCUCUAAUACUGGGUAUCUCGAGUUCGAGAGAGGUGAGUGGAAUUCCGAGUGUAGAGGUGAAAUUCGUAGAUAUUCGGAGGAACACCAGUGGCGAAGGCGGCUCACUGGCUCGAUACUGACGCUGAGGUGCGAAAGCGUGGGGAGCAAACAGG